rnacentral:rRNA from 1 species
UACGUAGGGUGCGAGCGUUGUCCGGAAUUAUUGGGCGUAAAGAGCUCGUAGGCGGUGUGUCACGUCGGCCGUGAAAACCUGCAGCUUAACUGUGGGCGUGCGGUCGAUACGGGCAUCACUGGAGUUCGGCAGGGGAGACUGGAAUUCCUGGUGUAGCGGUGAAAUGCGCAGAUAUCUGGAGGAACACCGGUGGCGAAGGCGGCAUCCUGGACCGACAUUGACGCUGAGGCGCGAAAGCCAGGGGAGCAAACGGG